UAAUACGUAGGGGGCAAGCGUUGUCCGGAUUUAUUGGGCGUAAAGAGCGUGUAGGCGGCCAGACAGGUCCGUUGUGAAAACUAGAGGCUUAACCUCUAGACGUCGAUGGAAACCGUCUGGCUAGAGUCCGGAAGAGGAGAAUGGAAUUCCUGGUGUAGCGGUGAAAUGCGCAGAUAUCAGGAAGAACACCCGUGGCUAAGGCGGUUCUCUAGUACGGUACUGACGCUGAGACGCGAAAGCGUGGGGAGCGAACAGGAUUAGAUACCCUGGUAGUCCACGCCGUAAACGAUGGGUGCUAGGUGGUGGGGGGUGUCGACUCCCCCCGUGCCGAAGCUAACGCAUUAAGCACCCCGCCUGGGGAGUACGGCCGCAAGGCU
rnacentral:rRNA from 1 species